GGAGAUAUGGUCUAAUGGUAUGACAGCACCCUGCUAAGGUGUCGGACGUUAAUAGCGUUCUCUGGGUUCGACUCCCAGUAUCUCCGCCA
rnacentral:tRNA from 1 species